rnacentral:lncRNA from 1 species
CUUGAAGUUGAAGUUGAAAAAACAGUUUGAUUCCCAUUCUGAGACUCACAGAGGUAAAGAUAGAAAGAGGUUCAUCACUCUGAGGGACUGAGCAAGCAAACUGUUAAACAAUUUCACAAUCUCAUUUCUCAGCAUUAAACUGUAAAGCAUGUGGGGAUUUCAUCAACUGCAGUGCAUGAUUUCAUGAAAAAAUUCAGAGACAUGUCUUUACAAAAGGGAAAAGGCAGAAAACCAGUACUGGAUAGCUGUGAUUUUCAGGCUCUUGGGUGGUACUGCACUUCAAACAGACAUCACUCUGUGAUGGAAAUCACCACAAUUGUACCAUGCUAAGAGGAAAACAUAUGUAAAAAUGACCAAUGAAUUAAUGCGACUUCCUUUAGCCUGUCCUUUUUAAAAUGAACUGCGGUGAAAUGAAAAACUGUCCUGUGGUCAACUGUGCGAAGAGUCAAGAUUUCACACAUUUUUGGAAAUUGUGGAUGCUGUGUCUUGUGGUCUAAGACUGACAGGGACAGCCCUGAUUGUUAUCAGUGCACAGUUCAAAGGACAGAAGUGCAGAAGUGCCCUUGGCAUGGUUAGCUCAUCCACAUCUUAUUUACAUUUACACAUAUACAGGUUUUGGAGCUGCUCCAGACAAUCCUGCAAUACACACAAUGCCUUUUUUGGGUGCCAAACUGCAUUGCACAUGUAUUACAACAGCAUGGCUCUGAAGAGUCUGGGUGCUAAACUGGCCUGCCUGCAGUACUUGUCACCAAGUGGAUACACAACAAAACUGUUAAGCAGCCGAAAUCCUCUCCGGCAAGAAUAGUACAACGUUUCACUCUCCAGACUCCAGCGACCAGGGUCCUUGGUUCACAAAUGUUUGCAGAGGUUUGUUAAAAGAAGAGGUGAUGCAACAGGACAGUAAACAUGCAACUUUUUUAGAAAGUGUUACUGGCAUCAAAUUUAAUUUGAUGCCAGUAAGAAUUUAUUGAUUAAUGAUUUUUUUUUCAACAUUAUAUAUGUUGUUUUUGCACUAUUUUCAAUCAAAUGAAGGGUUUAAAUGAUUUACAAACCAUUAAAAUCUCUUUUAAUCAAGAUUUUUUAGCAUCCCAUCUCUUUGAAAUUGGGGCUUUGACACCAAAUAAAACGUAGUGCUUUUCUGUAACUUCUGUGACUUUCUUUUUUUCUCAAAAAUGCUGAUUGCGUUUGUCCUUGAAGAUGUAAGUGUGACAGUUCAUGAAAACACCGAGGUGACGACGAUCACUCUGGCAGAGAAGGGGUUAAAACACUGGGGUUUAUAUACAGAUCAGACUAAUUGCUUUAGAGACACAGGCGUUUAAGAGAAAAGAUGAGAAAGAGAACGAUGGCGGGGAGUAACACCGGAAACAACACAAAACCACCAGGAUUACAGGCUCUACAAAACAUAUAAAAACAUACAGAUUUGGCAUAAAAUUAUAAUAAAGAACACAAGUUUAUUUUUAUCUGCAUUCAGAGCAAGUUGCAGCUGAGAAAGAUGAUCUUUCUUGACUUAAAUUCAUAUUGAAAAUCCUCAAAAAUUUUGAAAAGAAAAGGAAGAUUUAAAUUUUUUUUAGGACAAUUAACAAAUAAUAGCAGUGAGCCCAAGACAGAGCCCUGAGACACAGCUUUGUGGAUUCUUGGUACUGGAUCCUGGUUUUCUUCUGGAUGAUUGUUAUCAACUCACUGGCUGUGAUCUGAAAAUCCAGUAGUUAGACAACAUUACUUGUUAUCUAAUUCAUAUGUUGUGUCAUGGCAGCGAUAGUAGUAAUGUGGUUAAUAAUUUCUAUAUUGGAGCCUUUUGUUGUUCAAGACAGCAGAGUCCUCAUCACACUACAUAGGACAUCAAUUCUUUAUAAGAGUCAUGACUAAUAACGUGAUACAAAGACUCCGCUGUAAGAUUUAUAUUCUUAAUUAAGGGUGCCUGACAGGACAUCAAAGUCUGAAUCCCUGUGGCAACUGUCAUCUCCUGAGGCAUUAAAAAAUAUUUGUUUAAUGAUUAUUCAUAAAUUUAGUAAUUAAAAGUCCUCACAGAUUUGAUAGAUAAGUUUCUGCUGCUUUAAAAAUGCCCAGAAUUAUUGGAUUAAUUCAAGUCAACACAUCGCAGUGGGACUGUACUCCCUGGCUCCUCUGAAGUCCUCCCUAACAGCAUUUAAUGACCUGUGCAUUUGAAAGCCUCCUCUCAGCAGGUUGACUUUGUUUGGAUUGGAGGACCUUGCUGUUUGUACGAGGGACCGCUCCUCAGCCUUUGAGGGCUUACUUUUCCAAUCCAUUUAACAAAUACCUUUUUUCUACACUCAGUGAACUUACACAACCACUUCAAGGAAAACACUCAUCAUGAGCCAAAUCAAAAAUCAAAUUCCUGAAAAUUAAAUAAUAUCUGCUUCUUUAACACCACUUUUCGCACUAACAUGCUCAGUGAUCCGCAGGAGUUACUGUGGUUUCACAGCUUGGUGAGGAGUUGUUAAAGUGCAACCAAGUAGCAAGAUAUUUCUGAAGUACACUGUUCAAGCUCCAGAGACCUAGCAGGCCAAAAAUAAAGGUGAAUCACCAUGUUAUAUUCCUGCCAUAAAUUGUAAAAAAAAAAAAAUGUUCCCUGUGUGCAGUCCCAAAAUCGCUAGCACAGUGAGAUUUCUCAGCCUGAGUGUGCAGAGGUGCUUUCAGCCCUCAGUGAACUCGCCUUUAUCUAUCAUGGCUUCUUUACGAGCUUCUGCGCCAUGCUUUUCCUUUUACAGAUCCAUUGAGUGGACUGAGUCAGUCAUGGCAAGCAUUAUGUAAUUCCAAUCAAUCUGAGUUAUAAAAUCUUGACAUAGGCCGAGGCUGGGCUACAGACUACUGCUGAAAUUUACAGCUGUUUAGAUUGCAAGUCACUUCCCUGUGGCCUGUGUAUACACACUCUGCAUCUGCCUUCUAGAGCCGAGGGGAAAUAAAACUCUGCCCAUGAGAGACUUCAGAUCUGAGUUUUACUCUCUGUCUAAAGCAAUCAUGAAUGAUUGGGUGCAUUUACAGCAUUAGAUUGCUUUAAUUUUCAGGAGUCUGCUGUAACUGCAAGGAAAAAGGAAGAGGGGGAGCUCACUGCAGCUCUUUUAAGAGAAAACAUUCCUGAUGUGUUUAAAAAAAGAUGAACAAACCAGCCAAGGGAUGUUAGCCUCUGCAGCUGUAGGUGGCAGCAGAGACUGCUCCUCCUCUGAAGAAGAAGACUGAUUACUAUUCACAGCACUAACCAGGGUACAUAUCAGCCCAACACAUACAUAAAUCGAUUCAGUUUAAUGUAAACCCACGGUUGCAUAGAAUGAAAUAUUUACUUGUGUGUGACACUCCUCUGCAGCCUGAGUGUGUCUGUUAUUGGAUGGAGCUGGAUGCUUCUGUCAUCACCUUGAACUGCGUUAUCUCUCUGCAUGUUUUUCAUGGCACCACUAAGUUUACCAUCCACAUCCAAAAUGGCUCAAGAUGAAUUCAUGACUCACAUCCAGGACGCAGAAGAAUAAAACUCGUGUUUGUUUUCGGCACACAUCCUGCCGAAUAAUCUCACUUUGGAAGACUGUUUACGUCUGCAGAGGACUCCUGCUCCAUUUAUGCUUUCUUUAAUGUACUUUGUCAUUAAGACUAUCUCUACGAGCGCUUCACAUCUCUUAAGGAUGCACUCACGCCUUUCAUAAUGUGUGUUAAUCUACUCAACAUUUGUUGUUAACAUAUUUGUUUAAGUGAUCCUUUAUCCUCUGUAUACAUAAUACACAGACUGGGGGCUUGUCUAUAGUCUGCUGAUGGAACUAUCCUUUGGGUAUCAUAACGGAUGUGCUUGAAUUAAAGACAUUAUGCUAAUUGUACAUACAGAGUGCUCAGAGCGAUUCUCCAUCUUCUUUAUGCAUGCAGACUUAAUUCAAUGAAUCUGUGGGAGAGCACUUUCACCAAUGGGUGAACUCGAUAUACAGCACCUGAACGUAAGCCAAGCUAUACAGAUUAACAACGUGACAUACUGGAAGCAAUAUUACAAUUAUGUCAUAGCAAUUUGUUAAACUGUCUCAAGGCUGACUGCACGAGCGGAGGGAUAACUUAUGGGUUUUGUGUGGCUGCAUGUCUGUGAGUGUGCUUGUCUGUGAAGUUGCUCCUUACAGGAAUAGGUUGCCUGUAAUUCUUUUAUUUGUCAAUUUUUGGCAGUUAUAAAAACACAUCCCAGCUGGCUGCCUGCCUGCACAAUUGCCUGCUAUUAAUGUUGAUGCAUAAUUGCAUUACAUAAUGUGUUGUGCUGUUUUUUAGUGGAGUCAAACAGCUGUGGCUGUUGGCUGUCCAUGCUGCACAAAGUCAAGUGCUCUCCCCUCCUUCCCUGCUCCAUACCAGCCCAAUCAGAAAUGGGAGCUGUCACAGGUCACUGUCAAUUGUAAGCUGUAUCAGUGCGGCUUUUGAAACUGUUACAGAGCUCCAAUUUAGUUUGUCAGUGAAUGGUAAGAUUUUAAGUGCACAGGGAUUUGAUUCAUUCAUAUUCCUUUAUCAGACGGCAGCUAAUUCAAACACAGUAGUCGUACAAUGUCAUAAGUGACAGACAGAGAAAUCAAUCUCUGUUGUAGAGGGAGAGAGGAUGGUGGAGAGUUGAGGAUUUUCUACGACAAGCUCUGCCUGUCGGCUCCCCAGCAGAUGGUGGUGCAGCAUCGCAGAGGAGCCUCUCCCAGAGCAGGAUGAAAAUGGUGCAGAAGAUGAGGUGUCUGAAAAUGAACGCUGCAGAAAUUGAGGUACGAAGCUUAAUGAAAUAAUAGGGUCAUAUCUUACCUACACCAUCAUUGUACAAGGCAGCACAUUUUUAUAAAACUGACAGCAGUAUAUCUUUCAACAUCUCCCAUAUGGUGUAGCCAGGGGGACGAUUAAAAGUGGAGCACAUUGAUAGCCUGGGUGCAGAGGACGUAUGUGCGUGUGGUUGCAGUUUUGAAUCCAGUCACUUACGUAAAUGAAUCCAGGAUUGAAAGCAAUCAUAAUAUUCAAACUGCAGAUUAAAUACUUGACAUGGCAGGAGCUAAGACAUGCAGUUGGGUUUACAGAGAGCAAAGAAGGAGCAAAGCAAAAUAUCAAACGUGCUUACAUGUGAUAAGUCAGACGUGUUUACACUGGCUUCAUUUGCAUCACAAAGAGCAUAUUUGACAGUGGGAUUUGUGAUUUUUGUGUCAUCAUACAUUGCUUUGUUGUGCAGCACUGGCAGGUGAUAUCACAAGCAUUGCGGUGCUCUCUCUACCUGUUACAAGGCUGAAACACUUUGCAAUUUCAGAUUUAGCGUUUUCAUAUUUUCCAGGCAGUAAGUGCAUUUUGAAGAGAGAUCAAACUCGCUGAUUUAUCUGAGUUUCAAAUUGCUUCUGCCCCUCAACUCAAAGUCAAGUAUUGUUUCUGUGCCAUAUUGGUUGCCUUUGGGAAAUAUCUGGGCUGUCUUUAGCUCUAUAUUGGAUGGGCGCGGAUAGAUUCUCACUCUGAAAAGGGAUGGAGGAAAGAGCGGUGAAGGGAGUUUGUCACACUGUAGAAAAAGCAUAAAGAUGUGGAAAAAAAAGUGACCAUCUAUUACAUUACAUGAUUUUCUGUGCUCACAGAAGAAAGCGGGAUGACAUGCUCUGCUGAUGGAGGUCAUGGGGCCAAAUUUACUGACAUGGAAAGAGGAGUUUUAAGGUAAAACAUAUCUUGCCAUGCAUGUUCUGACAUGAAAUAUCAGUGCUGCAGAUGUCAGACAUGAGUUCUGAGGCUGAGUGCAUCCUUUGAAGUCGUGCAAAAUGGCUCUCAUCAGAUGAGAGCUGUGCAGACUGAGACAUCCAGUGUAUAAAAAAUGCUGUGAUUGGAAACCUGGUAAGCUAAUGAGUUUGCACUUCUAUCUUCUCAAUUUGUACAGGCUUUUGUGCCAAGGCCUUUGAGGCUUGUCUGUGCCAAGUCUUGUAAUAGUGUUCUCAUUGUUCGCCUGAGAAUCUGACACUUUUUUUUCAUGAAACUUAGGGGGAAUCCAUCUCAAAACUUUUUCACAUGGGAAAGACAAGAAGGCCCGAGAAAAUUGCUGUGAAUUAUGGAUAUUGCUGCAGUGAAAUUAAGAUGACAAAGAAGUAGAGGAAAAAAAGGAAUCCUGUCUUAAAAGGCUCUGAAGAGGGAUAUUUCACAACUGCAUCUGAGCUGCAAUGCGGCGUAACAAGUCAUGAGUAGUUCUAGUUAAAAAAUUAUGAAGUUACAUUCCUCUUUUUCACUUUCUGUGUGCUGGCUGAAACCCUGCUUUUUAGUGGCAACAAACAUCUUUAACUAUUAGCAAGUAGCCUGUGAAAUUAUGUGUACACUAGCCUCUUGUUUUCCUGUCACAGUUUUUGCGAUAAAAGUGAAAUAAUUUAGCUCCAGUUGCUUAGCGCUCAUCUCCCUCCCUCUUCCUCUCUCAGUCUCCCUCCCUCUCUCUCUCUCUUUCUCUCUCUGCCUGCCCCUGACUUUCUGCUUUGGUUUGCCUCUGCCUUGGCAAACCGCAUAACUAUCAGAUAAAUGAGCUACAAAUGAGAAAGGGGUUGCUUCACUUGGGAGUUGUUCAAAUUAUUGGGAGGCCACUGACCACAGUGCUUAUUUGAGCUUAAGAUGCAGGCUGUUGAGAUUUGCUGGGAGCAAAUCUAGAGGCUGGUUGAGUCUUCAGGCAUGUCCAAUCCGAUCCAUUCAACCAUUAAUGCCCGAGAGUAGACCAGGGGAAACAUUACAGCCCUCAGAUCGACUCGGAGCACUGCGACCAGGGUCCCUUUUCCUCCUUAAACUCACUACUCCCUGUCCUCUCAUCAGGCUUAGUGAAAAUUUAGUUAUUCUUACACAUGACAAGACAGAACAGAACAUUCCCUCCUCUUCACUUCUUUUCUUUUUUUUUUUUACUUACUAGUGAACACUCAGCACUUUUGCUUUUUAAUUAUAGCUACCCUUGUUGUAAUAACCAGCUGUCCAGAGAGUUAGAAAUAAUCACACAGCACUAAACAAACAGAGUACAGUGCUACAUUACGCAUUGUAUUAUGUAUGUGGAUUUUCUUUUUCUUUUCUCACUCACAGAUACACAAAGGGUCAAAGUGCUGAAGAAAAACACUUUGAAACUAGCAAAUGAGAUACUGCAGAGUAAAAUUAUAACAAAUGUGUCUGUAUACGGAUAGAAAAAUUCUCCAUACAUUCAGGGGUACAGUGCAAUCAGACUACACAUCUCUGUUGCUCUGUAACGCACAGACACACACACACACACACACACACAUACAUAAAUGCACACAGUAAUUCUAUGAGGCUCAAGGUUGUCGUGCUUAUUGAAUAUAUCAACUUAACCACUUAUGUCAUUGAUCAAAAAGCCAAUUCCACUUCUAUUAUUGUGUUAGAGGGUAAAACAAUUGCCAAAUGACUUUGUGAGGUGCACUCACUUGGUAAACAGAUCUGAGAUCCAUUAAAGCCUUGGAGAUUAUCAAGCCUCAGUCCAACAAUUUGUGGAGAUUGCUCUGAACACCUUGCUGCUGACCUUCCUCAUCCAGUUGAAAGUCAAUGGGAAACGUGGCAAGGAGCCCGCCAGCGCCACAAGCAGCCCCUUCACUUUAAUUACACCGUACCUCAAUGGCUGGAGAUAUCUUUGCACCCCCCCCCCCCCCACACCCCCCAACCCUCCACCUGCCUCCUACCUACAUCCAUGUGUCACUAUUGAUACCUCAAAGCCACCAAUACAGUCCAGAUGUGCCACAGCUGUAAUAUCCCCUGGACACCUCUUGACAGGCUCAAUCAGAGGACUCCGUGAUAGAUAAGGCAAAGCAUGAACUUACAUCUCAUCAAUAUUAAUCUCUGGACUUUACUCCAUGCUGCGCUUUGUGGUUUACUGUGGCUGCCUCCCUCUGACCUCUGAGUGAGGCACAGGGAUGUUUUCCCUGUGCUUAAUCAUAAUGCACAGUGCCUCCUGCAUUGAUAGGUUAAUGUACCCGAGAGGAUCAAUGCAGUCUCGAGGACGUCUAGUACAACAGACGUUUAAAGGUUCGGGGAAAGGCUGUAACAAUGAGUGCGGUCUGUCUAUGUUAGGAACAGCGUGACGCUUAAUUAAAUGAGAUUGUGUAAGGUCUAGUGACUGGUGUGAUGACUUUCUGUAGAUAAUUGGCCAAACGGAUGCAAAUGCAACCGAGCACUCAUUAAAAGCACAUAAAUAAUAAUUUAUACACAGAUAUCUGAGAUCUUACCCCUAAAGAUCAGCAUGAGUUCAGAAAAACAGGCACGGUAACGAGUGUUUGGAACCUAAAGGUGCUAAAGCAGAUUAAACUCAAAGCUGUCUUGAUGUGGUUAUAUAAUGUCCCAUUGAUAUUCAGGAUAUUUGAAGAUAUCUGCGCAAGAUCACUGAAUAACACUGACUGGCAUGAGAUCAACAGUCAGAGCAUUUUUGUUCUGGUAAUCUCCAUAAAACUUUAUGCAAAUCUGUGUGGAAAAAAAUGGAACGGCUUUUUGCCUCGUACAGAAAAACUCAGCAGUAAUUGAAAAACAAGUCACAAACUAUUUUUAUCCCUCUGUGGCAAGAUAAUGCUUUCACUGUGGAAUUUGGGGGCGUGUAGUAUUAAAACAUGAGAAAGUUUAGCUCUUUUUUUUACUUUUUCAAAGCACCUGGGUUACUGUAUCUUUGUCCUCUGAAGGGGAAAAGCCUCAGCAUGGAUAGAGAGAAAAACAUUUGCUUCCAAUGAAUAAAUAAUGAAAGGAAACGAGGUGCUUGCACUAAUUUGCAAAGCAUAAAACGCAGAAAAUUUCACAGAGUUUUAAGCCAAGGUUUUUGGGGGAUCGUUUACCUCACGGCAGGGUGCUACAACAUGCAGCCAAAUAUAGAAACACUUUUAGCAGGAAACUUUAAAAAAUGUAGAGUACUUGUCGGUAAAUGAAAUGGAAAACAUUGUAGAAAUCUUUUUAUUUCUAAGGGCUGGCACUGAAUCUGGAUGUGUGCUACAAAGAGUAUGUUUAAAUAGUCACAUAAUCUAGAGAGUAACAUAUAAAGAGAGAGAUUGCUCUCUGGUUUCAGUUCGUGUUUACUCUUAUCAUUGUCAAAGUCACAUGUUCAGACUCACUGUACAAAUGUCAGGCUUCCGUACGCUUACUUUGAUCAAAUCUUGUAUCUUGACAGUUAAGCUCUUCCGCUGCUGCAGGGCUGAUGAAGACACUCCUCAUUCCGUUUACACAGGACCACUGAGCAUCUGCACGCCAAUUGUCUCUUUUAUUUCCAGGUGUCUGGCAGCUAUAGCAGAGCUUUACGGUCCAAGAAAGCUGCUGUCUUCCCUUUGGAAGGAACCUGAAAGCAAACAGUCGUGUGCCAGUGUUUGGUCAGAGCAACAUAGUCAUUUAUCUCUAGAGGACAAUCCAUACAAUCAAAAUAAAGAUGUCGAGUGUGGUCGGUGCAGAAUAAUAAUUAGGAUGUAUCCCUGGGCAUGUGUCCCAGCAGUGGUUCCCACCUGUGGUACCAGCUUGAGCAGAUCUGAGAUCAUUCACCUGCAGCAUUACACGAUCUCCCACUGAAUAAGUGCUUUGUUCCUGCUCUUUGGUGCUGAGAAACACCUUAUUCUCAGCACUAUCUGUGGAGGAAAUCCUGAUAAUGUGGAGGUAAACAUUCAACAUUCUCUACUUGGCAGGGUUUUGAGUGAGCAGAAUAAAUAAUAAGAGCAAUGAUCCGUCCCACAUGGAAAAUUAUUUGUGACUGUGAAGUAUUACAUCACUUAACGGUAAGACUUAGGGGGAAAAAAAAACUUAAUUAGCGCCUCCAGAGAGCAGAAACAGAUCCAAGAUUUCAAGGGUAACACUCAGCCAAAAUCUCAGCCAAUAUAUUAUCUCUCACAUUAGUCGGGACCCUGCUGCAGGAAAUGGCUCUUUUCAUUUGGAGAUAUACAAUAUGGCAGCCGCUGAAUAAAUGUGAGUCCUGGUCGUAAGCCCAAAUAUUUUCCAUCUCUAAUUUACUUAGCUGCCAUCCAGCCACUCAUACAGUGUUUUCACUCAAGUUGGGCUUGUUUCAUGCCGCUAUUAUGUAUCCAUGGCCACACUUUUCAUCAGGAAUUAGACAGAGAAGACAUCUCUGCUUUCUAUUUCUUUUUUUUUUUUUUUUUGGCUGACUUGCUAGAGAGCGUGAGGGCCUUUCAAAGAGCGACUCCUUUGACUUAGAUGCGUUUCAAACUUCUGAAAAGCUCUGGGGUGCAGCCGAAGGUCUUAAUUGGCAUGUGAUUGCCUGUCAUGAGUCAUCACAGGAAUGCUGGAUACCUUUCAAAGACGGUCGCUGUGUGCAAACACACGGAUCCAACAGAUGGCAACAUUGUUCCUCCAUCACCAGAACAGGUUAGUUGGCAAUCUGCCAGCGAGGUACGGGUGCAUCGACAAACCCUCCAAAAUAAAAACAGCCAUCAAAUACAAGAGUGGGCGAUGACGAUGUGACUAAUUGUUGCCAUGGUGAUCUGGUCUUUGAGAUAACGUCUAACGGUGAGGGAAAAGGAGCAAGCGGCACAGAGAGGGGAGGAGAGAAUGAGAAAGAAAAAGGGAAAAAAAGAGAGGAGGGAGAUAAAGAGGAUGAAAGAAAAAGGAGGGCUAAUGUUCCACGUGGGAGAGCAGAAAGGAGAGAAAUGACCCUGUACUAUGAGGUCAACUCAAUGUCUCCCAGUCAAUUCAGGGAUGUAAAUACCUUUGGGUUCAUUUACGCAAGGACUGGCCUUCAUCCUCAGGGAGCAGCACUUCUCAUCUCACAGUAACUAGUGUUCAAAAUGAGCUUCAAACCAACAUAGGGCUCCAUCAUCAAGGUUACUGCUAGUAAGGAUGGAGUCUGCUCUUUUUGAGGAGCCAUGCCUGUCAAAAAAAAAAAAGACAUGUUUUGUAAAACGUUUGUAACAGGAAAGGAAAAGUAGGCCUAUCCAAAAUAAUUAUAGUCUGGAACAAAAAGCCCUCUUAAACAAAUCUUCCUUUAGUGAAAAAUUACACGCUUUUGUAUUUGUAGCUGAGGAAAUUGGGUUUUAAACAGCCAUGAAUCGCAGUUUACAGGCUCUGCUCUCCCUUCAGUCACCUGCAGGAUCCUUUCAUCAGGCUUUGUCUACGUGUGCUGUUUGUGUGCUCCAGCAGCGUUAUCCUACAGCGAGUGCCGAGUCAGUGUCUGUGUUAAUGUUGUGCCAGAAAGAGCCGCCUGGCCGCAGACUGUUGCAUCAGCCUUUCCUUUUGUUUAACAGGACAAUGAAGAUUGGAUGCUAGUGAGCACAAGACAGAGCGGGUGUGAGAGGGAAAAAUAGAGAGCAUGAAAAGACAGAGGCUCUUCAUUUCAACAGCAUAACAUCAUCUCUCUUUGUUGAAAAAUCUGAAUAAUCCAGUUUUCCCCAUGGUCAAGGUCAGCUCUUUAAUAAGGCAGAUAUAAAUCACUGCAGGGUUUGCAUUUCCCCUCCGUGCUAUCUGAGACCCUGCAGCACUGUUGUGUUAUGUUUUAUCACAUGGGAGCUGCCAAACUAUGCUGAGCCGGAGCUUGUCACAGCGCUGUGUGUCAUAUGACAACCUGCUACCUGCAAUAGUUUCCACUGGGGCUGAGCGAUAAGAGGAGGGGUGUAGAUAAGGUGUCUCCCAUUCUGGAUGUGCCAGGAGCUCCAGCCUUUUACAAGGGAGGUGCUGAUCUUUUUUUAAAGAACUGUUAGGAUUGCUGGGAAAAAAAGAGCUGGGAUUUGUUUUCCACAGCAGCAUGAACCACCACUUCACUGGAGUGUCUGGUGUCACUCAUAAAAAUGUCAUUAGCAGGAGUUUCCACUUGCCAUCACUGCCAUCUUUUUUUAGUGACGCUGGGUGGAAAGCAGCCACCACUGUAUGUGACUAAUCAUCACUCACGCCUCCGACUGUGGUGCGCCUGAUAACGACGAGGAGCCGUGGAUUUGUCUCCACUCCCACGCGGGCUGUUGCUAAAUGACAGUGAAGUGACGAGUCCCGACGAUUCUGACAUGAUACACGUCGUCUUUCGCCACCCAAAAUUCGUCAGUAUGAGUCGUCGAUGUGAAACUUGUCACCGUGCUCUCGCCAAUCAACACAUCAUGACACGAAAAAAAGAUGACCUCAUUUGCUGCUCCCUAAGAUGUUUUUAAUCUGAGUUUCUAUUUUUGAUCCUAAAUGCAGGAAAGUUGAUUGUAAACGGGUCUUCCUUUGUGAUUUUUGACCUGUACUGCAGUCCUGAGUGUCCUCUCUGUGCUCCCUCUGUUUACAGGACAGUUUGUCUCUGGGGCAGCCUCUGGGCAGGAGUUCGUAUCUGAACAUGUGCAUCAGGCUGUUUUAGUGUUUAAGGCACGUAUGCUUCAUAUGCACUCUCAUGAGCGGUAACUAGGCAGUUACGAGGAACUUCACGUAACAGCAAUCAGCCAAGGCUUCAUUAAAAUGUAAAUUCUGCCCAAGCCUCUUGUGAGUCUUUACAGUGUUUCCAAAAUAACCCAGUGAAGGCCUUCUGGGGACUUAACGUAUGAUCUAAUCUGUGUGUCUUAUUCGAAAACCUCCCCCUCCCUCUGUGCUCGCAGAACUGGAGCACCCCGUCUGAUUUUGGGGGAAGCAGAGCACUUAGAACCGAUGCCUGGACGCCUUUCAGACCGUCCCGCUCUUGCUGUUUGUUUGCUUUUCAAGAGCAGCACAAAGCUAAUUAGACAGCUGGUGUUGUGCCAAUUUGUGUCCCUCAGUCUGUUGUUUACCCACUUUUUGCAUAAUGCAGACGUGAUUGUUGACAUUGUAUGAUGCUGCUACACGGUCACAAGUGGCCAUUUGGUUUAUUUUCCUUGGUGUAGCCUCAGUGGCAGGAAGCUUCUCUCUUGGUUUUUUGGAAGCCACAUGUGUGUCAAUUGUGUGUUUUUGUGCCCGUACUUAUCCAUUUUCAAUCCUGGUCAAAACACAAUAAAACGCUAUCCAAAAAGAUUUCUCUGCCAUUCUAGAUCAAGUGCUCAGAGAAAACUUGCUGACCGAAAUGUGGCCGCAUAAAGCUCUGAUUUAAAUUAGCCAGCUCCCCUAUUCAAACUGGAGCUCACUCCAAAUCUUGGAGCCAAUGUGGUGUAUUUGUCAGGGGAGACCAAGUGUUAAUAAGAAACAAAAUAACUUGUUUAAACGGAGUAAAAUCUUUGUUUAGACAUCACAUUCUUCUCUGAAUAAAAUUUUUAAGGUUAUUUAGAGACUAAGGGCCUGAUCUACUAAGAUCCCAAAUAGCGAACGCUAAAUUGUGUGCGCAAACUUAAAAAUUGCAUGUGCUAUUAGUGGGCGUGUUGAAGUUGAACUACUAUCAUUGUGUGCCCAAUUGAUAACAGGAGCAAAAGUGGUUGCGGACCGUCCUCUUUUAACGAGGAUUUUGCGUGUGCUAUCAGCCAUCACCAUGGAGAGUUUCUGAGAGCAGAGUGAUCGUAGAUAAAAAAUGAAGUUUGAAGCCACGGAAUUGCACCUAACGUUUUGGGGAAGCUAGCAACCGCAUAAAAGGCAAGGGAAGUUUAUUUGUGUAGCGCUGUUUAUACACAAGGCAAUUCAAAAUGCUUUACAGGUGCAAGAAAAUAUAUUUGAAAUGAAAAAAAAGAGAUUUAAACAAUUUAAAAUCACUAAGAUAAAGAGAUAAAUUUUUGCGACUGUUCUGUGUUUGACCUAAUUAUUUGUCAAAACCGUCAUUUAGUAGAAAAACUCUUUUGCACUUAUGCGUCCUUCUCCCCGUAAUGACUGCAGCCAUCUGUGCGUAACGCUGUGCCAGUUUGCACGUGCCUUUCCGACAUGCUAAAUAUAGACGCAGAACAGCGACCACAAUCGGUUUCCGGGUUUGAUAAAUCACAUUGCAGGUGCUAAAUGAUUCUAUUUGCUUCUGCCCCUACCAGAAUAUUGGGCAGUCUGAUGAUCUGCACAUUAAUGAAGGCAAACACGCUAAAUGGAUUGCACGUGCUGUUUUGCUCAUUUGUUUGACAGAUCCUCGAUGCACCUGGUUAGUACAUCAGCUUUGCACGCACUAUUUAAGUUUGCAUGUGUUUUUGCACACGCAAACCUGAGAGUUUAGGACCAACAUCUCUAGAGGUAACAUAAGCAAAUUUAAAUAACUGCACUUAUGGCAUGUCUGAGUAGACAGACCAAACUUGAGCUGUCAAACAAUUCAUAUUAAAAAUCCAGAUUAAAGGUUAAGUUCAGCGUUGACUGUCAAAUUACUGUUUUCUUCAGCCAGAAUUUAACAGUCCAUUAUUUUUGCUUCUAGGUUCAAAAUUUACAAAGAAAUACUUGUCAGUGUCUUGAUGUAAGAGUGAAAUGAUAGCAAAGACAUGAACUUUAUGAUCUUGACGUUUCAACGUGUUACUCACAUAAUUGCUGCCCUUCUACUCUGGUGUGGUCUGAAACCAGGAUUUAAAGGCAGGAUACAGCCUUCAUUUAGUAAAGUGAAGUGGUUUUCUGAUUUCCCUUUCUGUGAAGGAUAACACUAUAACAAAUUAAAAAAUAUUCAGGAGUGUAUUUUCUAAAUGUACUAAUCAGUGUCUAUUUGGUGAGCACUUAUUCUGACACAAGAUUGUCCCAGAAUGAGUAAAUAAGUGACAUCAAGUGAUCCCUGGAAAGAGCUGCCCUCUGUUUCAUACAGGUUCUGUGAAACUACUGUUCCCAGGAACAGGAGGGCAUCAAACUGGUCACAGCUGGACCAGCAAACUGGAGGAAGUCCCUUUGCCUCAAGUCCUCCACAAGUUAAACAUGAAUUACUGAUGUUGUCUUCUAUCUAGAUUGCUAUCUUGCUUGUGUUUAAUUGCUCUCAAAUAUACAUCACUUUGGACUAAAACGUCUGCUAAAUGACACUGUAACAUUCACAAGCCUGUUUCCACCAGUUUGUGCAGAAAAGGGUUCGCCUUUUAACACUGACAGCCCCACACAAAAUACAAUAAACAGGAACAUAUCAAAUUCAUCACACUUGACACAGUUGAGUUUCUCUCAACUAUAUUUUUGAAGCUGGGUAGUUUAAAAUUUACAUGUAAAGCAUAUUGAUAAAGAAUAAUUCAGUGCUCUGCUAUACAGGCUUAUUCCCAAAAGUGUCAGCAGUAUCAUUAGAGGAUUUAUGAGCUAUACAGGGGCCAGCACAUGGAUUUAAUACUUAAAAAGGAGUCUGCCUUUUAUCAGUAGCUUAAGUGUUUUGAGCUCAACAUGUUGAACCUCUGUCAAUCACUACUUUAACCUGAAAAGGCAUCUUCAAACAUCUCUUAUAGCUUUAAUCUGUAGUUUAUUUUAUGCAAAAAAACACUCAUUAGACUCACAGCGGUGCUGGAUUGAAUUUCAUAAACAUGGUUAAGAGGUGAUCAAUAAAUGCUGGAAGGAAGAAUAAUUUACUUGACUUUUUUUAGUUCUUGCAUAUUAGACCUCAAACAUGUUAUGAGUAGCUAAACAGGAGUUCUGUGUGUGUGUGUGUGUGUGUGUGUGUGUGUGUGUGUGCGUGCCUGCGUGUGUGCGUGUGUGUGUGUGUGUAUUGUCUAUUUCAGAUUUAUAAUGGCUAAUUCAGACCUGAUUGCUGCAGUAGAAUUUCAGGUCAAAAACACUGUUAUCUGAGAGACUUAAAAUCUUUCUGUUAGUGUUCGUCUGGUUCAUCCUGGAAUGACACUGUGCUUGUAUUUGACACGUCUGAGUGAUGUGACUCUUAAAGGUCCUACCUCUCCAGCCUGUCACUGAUACGAAUCAAAUCAAUGCACACUGAGGUGUAACAUCCAUCAAUCUAUCUUCUAUAGCUUCUCGUCCUGUUCAGAGACUCUGGGAACUGAGACCUUUAAGGUCUGUAAACUCUGCACAUGUCACUACAAGAACUAACACACAAAGACAAACAUCCGCAAAUGCAUGUUUACCCCCACUGCAGGAAAUUAAGUCUCUUAUUCUCGAGAGCUACAUGUGUUUGGACUGACAGGGGGAAAAGGAGCAACAUGGGAAAGCAGACAUGAAGCAACAGACACAGAGACACGAAGAGGUGCAAUAUCACAUGUUAUAAAAUUCUACGAGUACCAAAACAAAAACAAACAAGUCAUCCAAGUACAAUUGCACCUCCUAAUAAACCAUUGUUUUCUCUUUGUGUCUUUCCCAGGAGGUUCUUGAGCCAUAAAAUGUUGUUUUGAAAAUAGCUCAGUUUGAGUUCAAGAGCCAUGAGGGCCACGCUAUAAUCUAACAAUCACGUCAUUUCAUCUAAACGGUUUACAAUCUACAAUAAUAUUUUAUUUGAGAAGGGUAAACAGUCACCUUUCCUCUGACCCACCUCCUCAGUGACAAACUGGGCAGUGGCCUGAGUGUGUUCGAUUAGAGGAGGACACCACUUGGGAGUGAUUAAAGUUCGAUGAAGCAUGCAUCUGCUCACAGAUAGAGAUGUAGCUGCGGGGUGUACUCAGACAAUCUGACACAAACACUAUGCAUAGGGGCUGAAAAACAAUUUCAACUGUGUGUAUAGAGGACUCUGAUUUAUACACAUUACUCAAAAAAAAGCUCAAAUUAAAGAAAGAUGUUCAUUGUUGUUUUCAUAAAAUACAGCGACCUCUAGAGAAAAAGAUACUGAAGCUAUUUCAGCGAAGAGCAGGUUUAAUUCUAUGAAUCUGAAAGGAGGCAUUAAAUGCUUUCAGUCAUGUUGUAUAUCAGGAAGAAUCCUUGGAUGGAUCUGUAAGAGAUGAAUGAGAACUAAAAGAGCUUUUCUGAACUAAAAGAUGAGUUCAGUGGCAACCUUUGAAUAAAUGUUUUCUGUUCAUUUAUACAGCAUUUAUUUCAAGUCCUUCUUUGACUGUUUUGUGCAAUAUCUAAUUUUUUUAAGUGACAGUGGUGUGUGAAGGUUUAAUUCAGCUCAAAUUCAACAAUUUCUCAACACUGUCCUUUAAUGAAUAAAUUGUACAUUUACAUGGGAGAUCGAUUCGAUCAUUUUUUUAUUUUUUUUAUUUUUUAUUAUAAGACAGUUUCCUGUUUCCAGAUGAAGAUCCUCCAUUACAUGAGCUGUAUCCAUAGUGAUGGUUAACUCUGCUGCCUUCGUAAAGAGGGUGUAUUUCAAUCCAUCAUUUCAGCACUGUCUUUAAGGUCCCCCCAUCAUGGGUCCACUUUGUCCAGAUUGUCCUGCUCUCUAGAAGCUUCUCCACUGCUGCCAUGGUUCAAAGUUGGGACUUUUUGUAAAAGCUUUUCAAGGCAGCCUGUCAUUCUACGUGGGGAUUACUCCAGUACAAAUUUAUUUCUUAAUUUGAAAUUUUGUUUUAACUCUGUAAAAAAGCAUUAUAUCACCUCUGGUACCAAGUAUAUAUCGCCCAACCUGGUGGGAUUUGAUCAAAGCAUUACUAUUCUCUUUAAUGGAUGUGUAGUUUUAGCCAGGAUCUGCAUGGCUCACAAAAAAAAUAUAUGUGAGACGCAGCCUGAAUGGUUUAAUCUGUAAAUGUGCAAGCCAAAAAUCAAGCUGAACUGUAUUGUCCUGAACCAACCUGGACCCUAACCAAGAUUGGCUGGUUUUACUCACAUGGAACUAAAUAUUUCUAAUAAAAAAAUAGGUGAAAUAAAACAAGAUGAACCCAACCACCUGAAUC